rnacentral:rRNA from 1 species
GAUGAACGCUAGCUACAGGCUUAACACAUGCAAGUCGAGGGGAAACGAUGAGAGAGCUUGCUCUCUUAGGCGUCGACCGGCGCACGGGUGAGUAACGCGUAUCCAACCUACCCAUUACAGGGGAUAACCUUGCGAAAGUAAGACUAAUACCCCAUGGCAUUUUAUGGGGGCAUCAUUAUAGGAUUAAAGAUUUAAUGGUAAUGGAUGGGGAUGCGUCUGAUUAGCUUGUUGGCGGGGUAACGGCCCACCAAGGCAACGAUCAGUAGGGGUUCUGAGAGGAAGGUCCCCCACAUUGGAACUGAGACACGGUCCAAACUCCUACGGGAGGCAGCAGUGAGGAAUAUUGGUCAAUGGGCGAGAGCUUGAACCAGCCAAGUAGCGUGCAGGAUGACGGCCCUAUGGGUUGUAAACUGCUUUUAUAGGGGAAUAAAGUGAGCUACGUGUAGUUUAUUGCAUGUACCCUAUGAAUAAGGACCGGCUAAUUCCGUG